UAUGGUAAUGUUGCCGCCGCGGUAAUACGGAGGAUGCGAGCGUUAUCCGGAUUUAUUGGGUUUAAAGGGAGCGCAGACGGGUCGUUAAGUCAGCUGUGAAAGUUUGGGGCUCAACCUUAAAAUUGCAGUUGAUACUGGCGUCCUUGAGUGCGGUUGAGGUGUGCGGAAUUCGUGGUGUAGCGGUGAAAUGCUUAGAUAUCACGAAGAACUCCGAUUGCGAAGGCAGCACACUAAUCCGUAACUGACGUUCAUGCUCGAAAGUGUGGGUAUCAAACAGG
rnacentral:rRNA from 1 species